rnacentral:tRNA from 1 species
GAGGAUGUAGCUCUGUGGUACAGCACCUGCCUAGCAAGCACAAGACCCUGGGUUCAAACCCCAGUUACGCCC